GGUCUGCUCCCUCCGUCUCAUAUCAAGUGACUUAUUACAUGUAUUUAGACACAUUUUAAAUAUACAUACAUCCAUAUUUGAACAAAUUUGAGUCAUUUAAUAUGUGACGGAGGGAGUAAUAU
rnacentral:pre_miRNA from 1 species